GGAGAGGUGCCAGAGUGGUUGAAUGGGGCAGACUCGAAAUCUGUUGUACGCGUCAGUGUACCGUGGGUUCGAAUCCCACCCUCUCCG
rnacentral:tRNA from 1 species